rnacentral:rRNA from 1 species
CGGUUAACGGGGGAUUAGGGUUCGAUUCCGGAGAGGGAGCCUGAGAAACGGCUACCACAUCUAAGGAAGGCAGCAGGCGCGCAAAUUACCCAAUUCUAACAGCAUAAGAGAGGUAGUGACAAGAAAUAACAGUACAAGGCAGUUAAAAUGCUUUGUAAUUGGAAUGAUAGAAAUUUAAAUACUUUUUAAAGUAUCAAUUGGAGGGCAAGUCUGGUGCCAGCAGCCGCGGUAAUUCCAGCUCCAAUAGCGUAUAUUAAAAUUGUUGCAGUUAAAAAGCUCGUAGUUGAAUUUCUGCUAAAAAUAACCGGUCUGCUUUUGUUAAWAAAAGUGGUAUCUUGGUGUGUUUUUAGCAAUAAUGUCCUUUGAAAUGUUUUUUACUUUAUUGUUAAAAGCAAAUUUUAGGAUUUUUACUUUGAGAAAAUUAGAGUGUUUCAAGCAGGCUAACGUUUUGAAUACUGCAGCAUGGAAUAAUAAAAUAGGAUUUUAGUUCUACGUUAUUGGUUUUAAGGG